CUGUCCCUCUGCCACCAUGAGGAGCAUCUUCAAGAGGAACCAGGAGCCCAUGGUGGCCCCCGCCACCACCGCCAUGCCCGCCGGCCCGGUGGACAACUCCACAGAGAGCGGGGGUGCAGGCGAGGGCAAGGAGGACGUGUUUGCCAUGCUCAAGGAGAGGUUCUUCAACGAGAUAGUCAAGCUGCCUCUGCCCCCCUGGGCGCUGAUCGCCAUUGCCGUGGUCACGGGCCUUCUGCUGCUCACCUGCUGCUUCUGCGUCUGCAAGAAGUGCUGCUGCAAGAAGAGGAAGAACAAGAAGGAGAAGAGCAAGGGCGCCAAGAGCGCCAUGAGCAUGAAGGACAUGCGGGGCGGCCAGGAUGACGACGACGCGGAGACGGGUCUGACAGAGGGCGAGGGCGAGGGUGAGGAGGAGAAGGAGCCGGAGAACCUGGGCAAGCUGCAGUUCUCCCUGGACUACGACUUCCAGGCCAACCAGCUCACCGUGGGUGUCCUGCAGGCUGCAGAACUGCCCGCCCUGGACAUGGGCGGCACCUCGGACCCUUAUGUCAAGGUCUUCCUCCUUCCAGACAAGAAGAAGAAAUAUGAGACCAAAGUCCAUCGGAAGACGCUGAACCCUGCCUUCAACGAGACCUUCACCUUCAAGGUGCCAUACCAGGAGCUGGGGGGCAAGACCCUGGUGAUGGCCAUCUACGACUUUGACCGCUUCUCCAAGCACGACAUCAUCGGCGAGGUGAAGGUGCCCAUGAACACAGUGGACCUGGGGCAGCCCAUCGAGGAAUGGCGGGACCUGCAGGGCGGGGAGAAGGAGGAGGUGAGGCGGGGCGGGGAGGAGGAGGAGGUGGGGCGGGGCGGGGGAGGAGGAGGAGGAGGUGGGGCGGGGCGGGGAGGAGGAGGAAGGGGUGAGGCGGGGCGGGGUGGUGAGAAGAGGGCGGGGCGGCGCGGGGCGGGCCCCCGUGGGUCAGCUGCCCGGCGAGGCCGCAGGCGCAGGGCACACGGCGCUCCUGUUUCCCUCGAGGCCCUGUGCCUGCUUAGCGCCAGCGACCCGCCCGGGGCCUCGUGUGCCCGCAGGGAAGGCCCGCGCGGUCUGAGCGGGUUCUCAGCACCGGGCUUGUCUUGCCGGAAGCGGCAGCGGCUGCAGCAGCACCUGCUCACACACUCAGCGAGUACGAGCCCCCGCUGUGUACAAAGCCUCUGCUGUGUACAAAGCCUCCGUUUAGACGCUGCCCUCGGAGCACCAGGCCCCCCGGACCUGGACGCGGGGGAGGCCUCCUCUGAGACGCUGCGGCGCCGCGCCACCGCACUGGCGGCGACGCACUGUCCUCCUCUCUGGUCUCGAGGUCCCUGCCCCCUGGCACUGACACCAGAUGGGAGGUGCCAGGGGCUCUGA
rnacentral:lncRNA from 1 species